CCAGUCCAUGACAAGAGGCGAGUCUCGCUGCCGACCACCACUGCACUGGCUGCCGCGGCGCCCGACGUAUCUGGUUGUUCAGCAGACUACAAGUGUGGUGAAGUUAUUCUGAGGGAAAAGUUCUUUACUUGGCUCGACACCUGAGACCUUCUGCCAUGUUCUGCAGAGGCUUUAGUUGGUUCGUCCGCAUUUUUGUGGCGGUAGUCGUAUGUACUGGCUGCAGUCACCCAGUUUCUGUUACAGCAUUUGUCAUGUAUGAAAUUGUCAUCCUGAAGGCACGCUUCUCUGUACCGAACGUUACUGUGUCUGCAAAUGAAAUACAUGUUGCAAUGCCUUCUGAUGCCACAAAUGGCGAAAUAGAUUCAUAACGCCCAGGAAGUCGUUUUGAGCCACCUAUGGUUGCUCUUCUUCUCUGGGGAGAGUGAUGUAUGGGUCAACCGGUUGCACGCAGACAUACGUGCGUGGCACCGUCACAGCAUGUCUUCAAGAUGGCUGCUACACUUGACGUUCGUCAUAAGUGACGUGCUGUCAUAGAAUUCCUGUGCUGUGAAAACGAGACAGUGGGAAACAUCCACAAGAGGUUGAAAAAGGUGAAUGGAGAUGCUGCUGUCGACCGCAGUACAGUUAGUCGGUUGGCAAGCAGGUUACGUGAUGAAAGCGGGCACGGCAAUAUUGAGAAUUGUCCUCACAGCGGAAGGUCUCGUACUGCACACACUCCAGACAAUGUGCAGAGAGUUAACGAAUUGGUGACUGCUGACAGACGCAUCACAUUGAACCAAUUGUCAUGCUACGUUCGGAUAGUGGAAGGUAGUGUUUGCAGAAUACUGAAAGUGUUGGCGUUAAAAAAGGUUUGUGUCAGGUGGCUUCCCAGGAUGUUGACAGUGGCUCACAAAGAAACAAGGAAAACCGUAUGCAGCGAACUUUUGGAACAGUAUGAGAAUAGUGGAGAUGAAUUUUUUGGAAGAAUUGUGACAGGUGAUGAAACAUGGCUCCAUCAUUUUUCGCCAGAGACGAAGAGGAAAUCAAUGGAGUGGUAUCAUGCAAAUUCACCCAAGGAAAAAAAAAAUCAAAACGACACCUUCUGCUGAAAAAGUUACGGCUACGGUGUUUAUCGAUUCCGAAGGACUCUUGCUUGUGCACAUCAUGACAAGUGGAACCACCAUACAUUCUGAUGUAUAUGUGACGACACUGAAGAAACUUCAAGCUAGACUGAGUCAUGUUCGACCACAUCGGCAAAAGCAGGAUGUUUUGCUGAUGCACGACAAUGCACGGCCACGUGUCAGUCAAAAAACUAUGGAAGCGAUCACAAAACUCGGAUGAACAAUACUGAAACACCCGCUUUACAGUCCUGACCUGGCCCCAUGUGAUUAUCAUCUCUUUGGGAAACUGAAAGACUCUCUUUGUGGAACAAGGUUUGAAGAUGAUGACUCCCUUGUGCACGCUGCCAAACAGUGGCUGCAACAGGUUGGUCCAGAAUUUUACCGUGCGGGUAUACAGGCGCUGGUUCCAAGAUGGCGUAAGGCAGUUGAGAGGGAUGGAAAUUAUGUGGAGAAACGAAAAUAUUGUUC